rnacentral:rRNA from 1 species
UACGUAGGGUACGAGCGUUAAUCGGAAUUACUGGGCGUAAAGCGUGCGCAGGCGGUUUUCCAAGACAGAUGUGAAAUCCCCGGGCUCAACCUGGGAAUGGCAUUUGUGACUGGAAGGCUAGAGUGUGUCAGAGGGGGGUAGAAUUCCACGUGUAGCAGUGAAAUGCGUAGAGAUGUGGAGGAAUACCGAUGGCGAAGGCAGCCUCCUGGGCCAAACACUGACGCUCAUGCACGAAAGCGUGGGGAGCAAACAGG